GAUGAACGCUGGCGGCGUGCCUAAUACAUGCAAGUAGAACGCUGAAGGAGGAGCUUGCUCUUCUGGAUGAGUUGCGAACGGGUGAGUAACGCGUAGGUAACCUGCCUGGUAGCGGGGGAUAACUAUUGGAAACGAUAGCUAAUACCGCAUGACAACAGUUAUUGCAUGAUAACUUUUUAAAAGUGGCAACUGCUCCACUACCAGAUGGACCUGCGUUGUAUUAGCUAGUUGGUGAGGUAACGGCUCACCAAGGCGACGAUACAUAGCCGACCUGAGAGGGUGAUCGGCCACACUGGGACGGAGACACGGCCCAGACUCCUACGGGAGGCAGCAGUAGGGAAUCUUCGGCAAUGGACGGAAGUCUGACCGAGCAACGCCGCGUGAGUGAAGAAGGGUUUCGGAUCGUAAAGCUCUGUUGUAAGAGAAGAACGAGUGUGAGAGUGGAAAGUUCACACUGUGACGGUAUCUUACCAGAAAGGGACGGCUAACUACGUG
rnacentral:rRNA from 1 species